UACGUAGGGAGCAAGCGUUGUCCGGAAUCAUUGGGCGUAAAGCGCGCGUAGGCGGCCCUGUAAGUCCGUUGUGAAAGUCAAAGGCUCAACCUUUGAAAGCCGAUGGAUACUGCAGGGCUAGAGUCCGGAAGAGGCGAGUGGAAUUCCUGGUGUAGCGGUGGAAUGCGCAGAUAUCAGGAGGAACACCAAUAGCGAAGGCAGCUCGCUGGGACGGUACUGACGCUAAGGCGCGAAAGCGUGGGGAGCGAACAGGAUUAGAUACCCUGGUAGUCCACGCCGUAAACGAUGGGCACUAGGUGUGGGAGGUGUCGACUCCUCCCGUGCCGUCGCUAACGCACUAAGUGCCCCGCCUGGGGAGUACGGCCGCAAGGCUAAA
rnacentral:rRNA from 1 species